rnacentral:rRNA from 1 species
GACGAACGCUGGCGGCGUGCUUAACACAUGCAAGUGGAGCGACGAACCGGGCUUCGGCCCGGGGCAAAGCCGCGAACGGGUGAGUAACACGUGGGUAACCUGCCCCGAUGACCGGGACAACCCGAGGAAACUCGGGCUAAUACCGGAUGUGCAACCUUCACAUAAGUGAAGUUUGCCAAGGUAGCCUCGGCUUCCGCAUUGGGAGGGGCCCGCGGCCCAUUAGCUUGUUGGGGAGGUAACGGCUUACCAAGGCUUCGAUGGGUAGCUGGUCUGAGAGGACGAUCAGCCACGCUGGGACUGAGACACGGCCCAGACUCCUACGGGAGGCAGCAGUGGGGAAUCUUGCGCAAUGCGCGAAAGCGUGACGCAGCAACGCCGCGUGGGGGAAGAAGGCCUUCGGGUUGUAAACCCCUUUCAGGAGGGACGAAGGUCACACGGUGAAUAGCCGGCGUGACUGACGGUACCUCCAGAAGAAGCCCCGGCUAACUACGUGCCAGCCGCCGCCGUAAUAC